rnacentral:rRNA from 1 species
CAGUCGGGAAUUUUGGGCAAUGGGCGAAAGCCUGACCCAGCAACGCCGCGUGAAGGAUGAAAUCCCUCGGGAUGUAAACUUCGCAAGAACGGGAAGAAUGAGUAGGGGACAACACCCCCUAUGAUGACGGUACCGUUUGUAAGCUCCGGCUAACUCCGUGCCAGCAGCCGCGGUAAUACGGGGGGAGCAAGCGUUGUUCGGAUUUACUGGGC